UACGUAGGGUGCGAGCGUUAAUCGGAAUUACUGGGCGUAAAGCGUGCGCAGGCGGUUCGUUGUGUCUGAUGUGAAAGCCCCGGGCUCAACCUGGGAAUGGCAUUGGAAACUGGCGAGCUAGAGUGUGAUAGAGGAUGGUGGAAUUCCCGGUGUAGCGGUGAAAUGCGUAGAGAUCGGGAGGAACACCAGUGGCGAAGGCGGCCAUCUGGAUCAACACUGACGCUGAGGCACGAAAGCGUGGGGAGCAAACAGG
rnacentral:rRNA from 1 species